rnacentral:rRNA from 1 species
UACGGGGGGAGCAAGCGUUGUUCGGAUUUACUGGGCGUAAAGGGCGCGUAGGCGGCCAGCACAAGUCAGUUGUGAAAUCUCCGAGCUUAACUCGGAAAGGUCAACUGAUACUGUGCGGCUAGAGUGCGGAAGGGGCAACUGGAAUUCUUGGUGUAGCGGUGAAAUGCGUAGAUAUCAGGAGGAACACCGACGGCGAAGGCAGGUCUCUGGGCUGACACUGACGCUCAUGCACGAAAGCGUGGGGAGCAAACAGG